CCACACAGUGGUUCCUGUUACCUUCUUGUGCCCCAGGAGAGGCUGCAGAGGGAGGAGGAGGAGCUACAGGAGGACUGCGGCGAGGAGAAGGAGGCGCUGGGGGGAGGGGGUCCGCUGCGCUGCAGGGCAGAACUGGAGCUUCGAGACCUGAAGGUCCAGCGGGAGAAGGAUCGGCUGCUGCUUCGCUGCCUGAAAGAGCGGAAGGAGACCCUGUCCGCAGAGCUCGAGGACACCAGGGACGAGUGCGAGAGGUUCAAGGAGAGCAUCGCCCUCGCUGUAGCGCAGCUCCAGAAGGAGAAGGUCGUGGCAGAGAACGCAAGUCUGAAGGAGGAGGUGGAGGAACUGCUGAAUGUGACGGGUUCUAGAAGGUUCUGCCCCGCUCAUCCAAACCAGCUCGCCAGCAGUACGGCGGCGCUCGUGUCACACGAGGGGUCCGAACGCUGCCCGAAAGGUGGCUUCGCAGGAAACUGGCUCCUCCCGCCUCAUCGAAGACUCGCGGAUCCAUUCAACGAAAGAACAAACGGAGGAGCGAACAAGAAGCGAACGGGAACUUUAUUCAUCCCAGAGGAAAUGCGCACAGAGUAUCCGUACGCUCCUUUCUUGUCAUGUUUUCAGAGGUCUGCUCUCAUAGCUCCGCCCCCCACGGAAGUCCCAGCAGCCCCGUGGUGGCGAACGACGACAACGACGGCGACGGGCUCCUUCGUAUGAAAGACGUCUUCGGACAGCCGUGAGCGACGGAGCGAACCCGGGGACUGGCGCUGGGGUCUAGGCCUGUUCUCCCACCCAAGUAGCAGUCCACACUGUGUCCACGUGCGCGUCACUUGGGUCGCAUGCGUUACUUUGUCCACUGGUGUGUCACGUUGUUCAUGUGUGUAUUACUGCGCCCUUCGGUGCCUUACUUUGUGCACACGUGUUCGUACUGCAGGCCGAUAUUUACUCUCUCGACUUUUUGCUUCCGGUUGCUGCUCUGAGCAACAGGAGGCAAGAGCACGGCCCUCUGCGGGACGUGAUGCUCGUCUCGUAGCGGCGCCGGUGGUUCAGAGAGGACGCCGUGCCGUACGUCAGGAGGACCCUCGUUAAGUGCGGGAUGCAGCUAGACCUGCUGGACUGGAACUGACCGCUGGAAGUGACCUCAGCCCAGAACCCACACCAGCAGUUUGAGAAUUUCAGAUAUUUUAUAAAUUCAGUUUCAGUUUAAACCUUAAUAUCUCUGAAACCCUGCUCUCCAGAGACGCCACCGUUGGCUGUACCUGUACAAAGUGUUCACCUCGAAUGAACCGACAUGACGUCUCAGCUAGUGUUUGGCCAGAGACUCUGAUGCAAAGCGUAAGAAGGUCCUACGAUCCAAUGAGACAAAAACUGAGCUUUCUGUCUAUUUAAAGAAACACUGUUUGCCAUGAGGCAAACCUGCACAUGACCACAAACACACCAUCCCUGCUGUUAAGCCUGGUGGUGGCAGCAUCAUGCUGUGGGGAUGCUUCUUGGCACCAGGGCUUAGAAAGUUUACUGAUAGAGGGUAAAAUGAGUGCAGUAAGUUAAAGGGAAACCAUGGAGGAAAACCGGCUGUAGUCUCCAAGAGAAGUAGGAGAUUAAUUUUACAGCUGGUCUGCGACCCUCGACACAAGGAUGAAGCUAUGCAGGAAUGAGUUAGAAACACGUCUCUGUCCUGGAGUGGCCUGGAGAUCUCAGGCCCGCACUUCACUCCCGGUCGCAACGAGCUGGACAGAACCUGAGCAGUUUUCAUAAAGAAAUGGGCUAAAUUGCAGUGUCAAGAUGUGCAAACCUGGAACAGAUUUCUAUCGAUAAAAUAUAGCUCAUAAAGUGCCUUGACUGAAUAUUGGCUUGUUGGGGUCAAUACUUAUGCACUCGGUUAUUUUGUUCGAUUCUUCUAAUUAAUUCAGAAUUUUUUUCCAGAAAUGCUUUAACACAAAAGACAUUUGUUCUGAUCAGUCACAAAAAAACGUGAUGAAAUGCACUGUGACUCCAGUUUAUGUUAAAAAAAAAAAAAACAUGAAAAAGUUCUGAAAAGUUUGGGGGGGUGAAUGUUUUUUACAAGGGCUGCAAAUGAAAGGACACUUCAGCCCUGAGUGAAUAAAGUGUUAAAUAUUUUCA
ensembl:lncRNA